UGAACGCUGGCGGCGUGCCUAACACAUGCAAGUCGCACGAGAAAUCUUUAGCUUGCUAAAGAGAGUAAAGUGGCGCACGGGUGAGUAACGCGUGGAUAAUCUCCCUUCGAAUCGGGGAUAACAUUGCGAAAGCGAUGCUAAUACCGGAUAACAUCAUGAGUACCUCGGUAUUCAUGAUCAAAGGUGGCCUCUACAUGUAAGCUACUGUUUGAAGAUGAGUCCGCGUACCAUUAGCUAGUUGGUAGGGUAAUGGCCUACCAAGGCUACGAUGGUUAGCUGGUCUGAGAGGAUGAUCAGCCACACUGGAACUGACACACGGUCCAGACUCCUACGGGAGGCAGCAGUGAGGAAUCUUGCGCAAUGGGGGAAACCCUGACGCAGCAACGCCGCGUGAGUGAUGAAGGCUUUCGGGUCGUAAAACUCUGUCAAGUGGGAAGAAACUAUUUCGUGCCAAUACCACGAGAUACUGACGGUACCACUGAAGGAAGCACCGGCUAACUCC
rnacentral:rRNA from 1 species